UGUCCCCUUGAACCACUCCACCUUCCCAAGGGGGUGCAGGGAGGUCACGGUGCAGUGCAGAGAGGCCGUCUGUCCGGCUGCCACAGACACCGACUUGUCCGGCUGGAUCACCUGCAGCUCCGCCUCACCUGCCACACCUGGAGGGAACACAAAGCAGAACCCUCUAUGGAUCGACUUCCCUCCUCCACAAGCACAUGCACAUGCUGGGGUCUGUUCCAUCAGCCUGGAUAAGUGAGUGGCAGUGAUGGGCACAGCUUUCAACACACAAUAAACAUGUGCUUCAAUGAGAUGUAAAA